rnacentral:rRNA from 1 species
AUGCGAAAUUUGGGGACGCGCGCGAAGCGGAGCGGACCGCGGUGUUCGGAUGGGACGGGACAUAGACGCCUCGAUCUCCGCGCCGCUUUCUUCGCCACGUAUCCCGUCUGCAUAACUAUUCCUGAUAUGAUUAGAUUGACCGGGCCCACCUGUCAUCCACUCGGAAGGGACCUUAUAAAUGCGCCCGGCGAGGGUUUCUGUACUAUGCCUCAGCAUUCUCUCUCUCUCUCUCUCUGCUUCCUUCUUCCCCGCCCAGCGUGUUCGCUCUCGCCUCCGCACCACUUCCCUUCGCGCAUCUCGCCGGCAACCAUGGCCAAGGAGAAGACGGCGGCGCUGGAACGUGCGAAGAAGGCGUCGGCGUCGGAGAAGGCAAAGGGGAGAUCCACCAGCCGCGGCGGGUCCUCGUCCAGAUCCCGCCUGCCGAAGGGCUGGGUCCAAGGAGACUGGAUCCAGUCGACCAUCACAGAGAAUGACCUCCUCGACAUGGCCAACGAGGGCUUGAUCCCUCAUGGAGCUGCGAGGCUUCCGGGGAAGGAGUGGCAGCCCCAGCCAGAAGAGGGUGAGUGUGUGCUCUUGGCCACCCAUGUUGAUCGUGGAUUUUCCUUGCCGCCGAGUGUUUUCUUCCGUGGCUUCUUGAAUUUCUUUGGAGCGCAGCUCCACCACUUUACCCCAAACUCUAUUGCCUAUCUUGCCGCGUUCGUGUCCAUGUGUGAGGGUUUCUUGGGCUGUCGACCGCACUGGGGUUUGUUCAAGCAUAUAUUCACGUGUCACUCUCAGACCGUGAAGAAGGCGAGUCCAGGCGAUGAAAAGACCCGAGUCGUCCAAAUGUGUGGGGGUCUGGGCAUCCAGGUGAGGAAUAAGAGCACCUUCCCGCCCAUGACCUUUCCCGAGUCUGUAAGAGGCUGGCAGUCGACUUGGUUCUACUGCCAGGUCCAGUCGACGCCAGGGCAGUCGAGUGGACUCCCUCCGUUUACCAUGGACCGAGUGAACAAGCCCUCCCCUCUGAAGUUGAUUCCGGAGGAGAAAGCUGACGUGAAGAUGUUGAUGGAGCGCGUGGUGCAGUUGGUUCGGGAGGGAGUGACGGGCAUGGAUCUCCUGGAGGUCUUCCUUAGGCGUCGCAUCCAGCCCCUUCAGUUCCGGAGCCACUGCAUGUGGUUGUACUGUGGGACUGAAGACGAGACUAGAGUCCAUCCAGAAGCAGUCGACGAUGUCACUCUGGAAAGAUGGAUGGUAGCCGUUACCGGGAAUAAGGAUAACCCACACGGAGUCAGAAGGAUUCCUCCACUCGACCACAACAGCGAUCCAAACAAGGUACACUUUCUCUGCUCUCUAUUGUGUUCUUGUCGCAUCCAUUUCCGUUUAUCCUGCCGACUGGUCGACUGA